rnacentral:rRNA from 1 species
CCCUUAGAUGUCCUGGGCCGCACGCGCGUUACACUGAUGCAUUCAACGAGCUUAUAACCUUGGCCGAGAGGCCUGGGCAAUCUUGUUAACGUGCAUCGUGAUAGGGAUAGAUUAUUGAAAUUAUUAAUCUUGAACGAGGAAUUCCUGGUAAACGCAGAUCAUCAAUCUGCAUUGAUUACGUCCCUGCCCUUUGUACACACCGCCCGUCGCGCCUACCGAUUGGAUGGUCCGGUGAAGCCUCGGGAUUGUGGUUCUUGCCGCUUUAUUGUGGCGUGACCGCGAGAACUUGUCUAAACCUUAUCAUCUAGAGGAAGGUGAAGUCGUAACA